UGGGGAAUUUUGGACAAUGGGGGCAACCCUGAUCCAGCCAUGCCGCGUGAGUGAAGAAGGCCUUCGGGUUGUAAAGCUCUUUCGGCGGGGACGAAACGGUCCGUGACAACACCACGGACUAAUGACAGUACUCGCAGAAGAAGCACCGGCUAACUACGUGCCAGCAGCCGCGGUAAUACGUAGGGUGCAGGCGUUAAUCGGAAUUACUGGGCGUAAAGCGCGUGUAGGCGGGUCGUUAAGUUGGGGGUGAAAUCCCGAGGCUCAACCUCGGAACUGCCUUCAAAACUGGCGACCUGGACUCAAGCAGAGGCAAGUGGAAUUGCGAGUGUAGAGGUGAAAUUCGUAGAUAUUCGCAGGAACACCAGUGGCGAAGGCGACUUGCUGGGCUUGUAGUGACGCUGAGACGCGAAAGCGUGGGGAGCAAACAGGAUUAGAUACCCAUGUAGUCCCUGAGCGGGCUGGCAAGGCG
rnacentral:rRNA from 1 species